GCCUCGUUAGCUCAAUCGGUAGAGCACCAGGCUCUUAACCUGGGGGUUGCGGGUUCAAUCCCCGCACGGGGCU
rnacentral:tRNA from 1 species